rnacentral:rRNA from 1 species
GCAAGUCGAGCGGUAGAGAGAAGCUUGCUUCUCUUGAGAGCGGCGGACGGGUGAGUAAUGCCUAGGAAUCUGCCUGGUAGUGGGGGAUAACGUUCGGAAACGGACGCUAAUACCGCAUACGUCCUACGGGAGAAAGCAGGGGACCUUCGGGCCUUGCGCUAUCAGAUGAGCCUAGGUCGGAUUAGCUAGUUGGUGAGGUAAUGGCUCACCAAGGCGACGAUCCGUAACUGGUCUGAGAGGAUGAUCAGUCACACUGGAACUGAGACACGGUCCAGACUCCUACGGGAGGCAGCAGUGGGGAAUAUUGGACAAUGGGCGAAAGCCUGAUCCAGCCAUGCCGCGUGUGUGAAGAAGGUCUUCGGAUUGUAAAGCACUUUAAGUUGGGAGGAAGGGCAGUUACCUAAUACGUAAUUGUUUUGACGUUACCGACAGAAUAAGCACCGGCUAACUCUGUGCCAGCAGCCGCGGUAAUACAGAGGGUGCAAGCGUUAAUCGGAAUUACUGGGCGUAAAGCGCGCGUAGGUGGUUAGUUAAGUUGGAUGUGAAAUCCCCGGGCUCAACCUGGGAACUGCAUUCAAAACUGACUGACUAGAGUAUGGUAGAGGGUGGUGGAAU